GGAGAUGUAGCUCAAAUGGUAGAGUGCUUGCUUUGCAUACGAGAGUUAUGGGGUUCGAUACCCCGCAUGUCCA
rnacentral:tRNA from 1 species